CCUACGGGAGGCAGCAGUGGGGAAUAUUGCACAAUGGGGGAAACCCUGAUGCAGCGACGCCGCGUGAGUGAAGAAGUAAUUCGUUACGUAAAGCUCUAUCAGCAGGGAAGAAACACUGACCUUACGGUCAGCAGACGGUACCUGAGUAAGAAGCGCCGCCUAACUACGGGCCAGCAGACGCGGUAAUACGUAGGGGGCAAGCGUUAUCCGGAUUUACUGGGUGUAAAGGGAGCGUAGACGGUGCGCCAAGUCUGGAGUGAAAUGCCGCGGCUUAACUGCGGAACUGCUUUGGAAACUGGCGAACUAGAGUGCGGGAGGGGUAAGCGGAAUUCCUGGUGUAGCGGUGAAAUGCGUAGAUAUUAGGAGGAACACCGGUGGCGAAGGCGGCUUACUGGACCGUAACUGACGUUGAGGCUCGAAAGCGUGGGGAGCAAACAGGAUUAGAUACCCGGGUAGUC
rnacentral:rRNA from 1 species